rnacentral:rRNA from 1 species
GACGAACGCUGGCGGCGCGCUUAACACAUGCAAGUCGAGCGAAGCGGCGGACGGGUGAGUAACACGUGAGUAACCUGCCUUAGACAUUGGGAUAGCCUCGGGAAACCGGGAUUAAUACCAAAUGGCCUAAGAUGGACUCGCCUCCCAUUAGCUAGUUGGUGAGGUAACGACCCAACAAGGCGACGAUGGGUAGCAGGCCUGAGAGGAUGAACGGCAACAUGGGAACUGAGAAACCGUCCAAACUCUACGGGAGGCAGCAGUGGGGAAUAUUGCACAAUGGAGGGAAAUCUGAUGCAGCGAAGCCGCGUGAACGAAGAAGGCAUUCGAGUCGUAAAGUUCUUUUAUAUGGGGAGCGGGACCAUAAGAAAAAGACCCGGCUAACUACGUGCCAGCAGCCGCGGUAAUUC